UGGUUUCCGAACGAGUGGCACAAUCUGUGAAUUUUUUUACGCACGUUCCAAUCGGAAGUGGAUUGAUUAACUUGCAGCUCAAAUCAUGUUAUUGUUUUAAACGAAGUCCAGUCAAGGCUUUUGGAUUCCAUUAUUGUAUCAAAAAGAUUCUUCGAAAAGGUAAUCGAACAAUAAAGGCCUACCGUUUGGAAGCAGACGCUUAAAUCAUGUGGUCUUUUUUUAUUCUGGGACAUCGUCUAACUUAGCUAAUGGAUUCAUUUCUAGCGGAUAUAUUACAAAUUAUCACGAGAGAGUCUAUCGAGGUAUAGCUAUUUUGGUGAUACACAGGGUCGCGCAGACGAUUAGUGACAGCUGAUAAUCGGAUCUCUCGAAUUUUCCCGCCAAAGCUUGUGGGCUGUUACACACAAAGGUAUGUGAAAUUUAUACGGUACGGAAAAUGAAUAUAUUUCUUUUGAAUUUUAUCCGAUGACAUUUUUUUUUCAUUUCUCAUUCUUUAUUGGGUUUAGUAUUCAAAAUCAGUCGAAAUAUGCAAUUCAGUAACGAGAAACUAUUCUUGAGAUUGCACCAAACGCAAUCUGAAAUUAGAUCCUACACAUUUUUUGCCAUAGAUGGCCGUUUUUGCGUGGAAACCUCUAUCUCCGAGCUCUUUGCAGUGUAUAAAAUGAGUGAUUAAAUAGAUAAGAACACUCUUAACAUGCUACUCGUUGCACUCU
rnacentral:lncRNA from 1 species